GAUGAACGCUGGCGGCGUGCCUAAUACAUGCAAGUCGAGCGAACGGACGAGAAGCUUGCUUCUCUGAUGUUAGCGGCGGACGGGUAAGUAACACGUGGAUAACCUACCUAUAAGACUGGGAUAACUUCGGGAAACCGGAGCUAAUACCGGAUAAUAUUUUGAACCGCAUGGUUCAAAAGUGAAAGACGGUCUUGCUGUCACUUAUAGGUGGAUCCGCGCUGCAUUAGCUAGUUGGUAAGGUAACGGCUUACCAAGGCAACGAUGCAUAGCCGACCUGAGAGGGUGGUCGGCCACACUGGAACUGAGACACGGUCCAGACUCCUACGGGAGGCAGCAGUAGGGAAUCUUCCGCAAUGGGCGAAAGCCUGACGGAGCAACGCCGCGUGAGUGAUGAAGGUCUUCGGAUCGUAAAACUCUGUUAUUAGGGAAGAACAUAUGUGUAAGUAACUGUGCACAUCUUGACGGUACCUAAUCAGAAAGCCACGGCUAACUACGUG
rnacentral:rRNA from 1 species